GAAAAUAAAUUAGUUUAAUAAUUAAAAUUAUAAAUAAAAUUUAUUAGUUAGAUUGAUAUAAAUUAAAUAAUUAAGUUUAUAAAAUAUAAAGUAAUGUAAAUGAGUUAGUUUAAGUAUUUAAAAGAAGAUUUAAAUUGUCGUACCUUUUGUAUCAGGGAUUAUUAAAAUAAGAAUUUUAUAGGGGAAAAAUUUUCUUGAAAUUAAAAGAGUGAAUAAAUUAUUUUAGUUAAUGUAGAAUUAUUAUUAAAAAUAGUUUGUUAGAGAAUAUAUUUUAGUCAAUUUUAAUGAUAUCAAGUUUUUUUAAAAUUAAAUUUAAUUUAUAAUUAAUUAUUUAUAUUAUUUAUUUAGAAAAAUUUAUAAAAUAAAAAAUUUAAUAUAAUAAAUUAAUUAAAUAAAUUAUGGGAUAAACUAUAAUUUAAGUUUUAAAAGUAAUAUAAAUAAAAUGUAUAUAAUAAUAUUAGUAAUAUUUUAAUUUUAUAGAAAAAAUUUAAUAAUUUAUAUUUGAGAAUAAUUUAGUUUAAUUUUUAAGAUUUAAAUAAUUAGCUUUAAUAAUUUAUAAAAAUACUUAUAUUAAUUAAUUAUAUAAGGUAAUAAUGAUAAUAUAAGUAGAAUAUUUUAUUUAUUAAUUUGAUAAUUAAAAAUAAGUUAAAAAAUUUUAAUAAGGAAUUAGGCAAAAUUUUUAAAUUCACUUGUUUAAUAAAAACAUGGUUUUUUGAAAAUAAUUUAAGAUUGGUCCUGCUCAAUGAAAAAUAUUUUAAAUAGCUGCAGUAAUAUGACUGUACAAAGGUAGCAUAAUCAGUUGUUUUUUAAAUGAAAACUGGGAUGAAGGGAUUGAUGAAAUUUAAACUUUUUAAUUAAAAAUUUUUGAAUUUAUUAAUUAAGUAAGAAAACUUAGAUGGAAUUAUGGGACGAGAAGACCCUAUAGAAUUUUAUAUAUAAUUUUAUUAAUAAAAUUUUUAUUAGAAUAAAUUUAUAUAUUUAGUUGGGAGGAUAGUUAAAUUUAUAAAACUUUAAUUAAAAUUUAAAAUAUAAAUUAAUAAAUUUAAGAAUGGUUAAGUAAAUUAAUAAAGAAUUAAUUACCUUAGGGAUAACAGCGUAAUAUUUUUAGAGAGUUCAUAUUGAUAAAAGUGUUUGCGACCUCGAUGUUGAAUUAAGAUAAAAAUUAAGUGGAGAAGCUUAAUAUUUAAGUCUGUUCGACUUUUAAAAUCUUACAUGAUUUGAGUUUAAAUCGGCGUGAGCCAGAUUGGUUUCUAUCUAUAAUAAAAAUUAGGAUAUUUGUACGAAAGGACUAUAUUUAAAAAUUAGAUUUUAUUUAAUUUUAUUAAUUAAUAAAAAUUAUAAAAUUUAAAAA
rnacentral:rRNA from 1 species